CAGCUGCUGAUGUCAUCUAGUGGGGUCACUUUCCUGGGCCCUGUACUCCAGCCUGAGGCAAAAAGAAAAACCCAAAGAGUAAAUUUCCUCAGGGGCAGUUUUGUCCACUGAUCAAUUUACAUUGAGACGAGUGCUUGGUCUGGAAUACACUGGGAGUUCAUUGAAUAUACUGCAUAAUUUUUUAGGAGGGAACGACAGGAUGAGAACAUAUAGGUGGUCAAAUGGGCGGCAAACUCUUAAGAGGAAGCGUUGGAGAGAAGUAAGCGUGUGUCCAACGGGUGACAGUAUCUGAUGGACAGCUCCCACCUCUAGGACCUGGAAGUGAGAAUAUUAACUCAGCCUACCCUAACUGGACAGCAAGCUCUGCAACAAGAAAACACUUGGAAAGCAGUACCCAGCCCGGCUCUUUUCAACUCCGCGCGGAAGGGCUCCCACCGGAACUUCUCCGGGUCCGCGCUCUCCCAUUGGUUGAAGGUUCGCCCGCUUCCACUUGCUUCCGGUUACGACCCCCGUAGGGCGGGGGCGUCCA